rnacentral:rRNA from 2 species
UUAAGCGACUAAGCGUACACGGUGGAUGCCCUGGCAGUCAGAGGCGAUGAAGGACGUGCUAAUCUGCGAAAAGCGUCGGUAAGGUGAUAUGAACCGUUAUAACCGGCGAUGUCCGAAUGGGGAAACCCAGUGCAAUUCGUUGCACUAUCGUUAACUGAAUACAUAGGUUAACGAGGCGAACCGGGGGAACUGAAACAUCUAAGUACCCCGAGGAAAAGAAAUCAACCGAGAUUCCCCCAGUAGCGGCGAGCGAACGGGGAGCAGCCCAGAGUCUGAAUCAGCUUGUGUGUUAGUGGAACGGUCUGGAAAGUCCGACGGUACAGGGUGAUAGUCCCGUACACCAAAAUGCACAGGCUGUGAACUCGAAGAGUAGGGCGGGACACGUGGUAUCCUGUCUGAAUAUGGGGGGACCAUCCUCCAAGGCUAAAUACUCCUGACUGACCGAUAGUGAACCAGUACCGUGAGGGAAAGGCGAAAAGAACCCCGGCGAGGGGAGUGAAAAAGAACCUGAAACCGUGUACGUACAAGCAGUGGGAGCACCUUCGGGUGUGACUGCGUACCUUUUGUAUAAUGGGUCAGCGACUUAUAUUCUGUAGCAAGGUUAACCGUAUAGGGGAGCCGCAGGGAAACCGAGUCUUAACUGGGCGUUAAGUUGCAGGGUAUAGACCCGAAACCCGGUGAUCUAGCCAUGGGCAGGUUGAAGGUUGGGUAACACUAACUGGAGGACCGAACCGACUAAUGUUGAAAAAUUAGCGGAUGACUUGUGGCUGGGGGUGAAAGGCCAAUCAAACCGGGAGAUAGCUGGUUCUCCCCGAAAGCUAUUUAGGUAGCGCCUCGUGAAUUCAUCUUCGGGGGUAGAGCACUGUUUCGGCUAGGGGGUCAUCCCGACUUACCAACCCGAUGCAAACUACGAAUACCGAAGAAUGUUAUCACGGGAGACACACGGCGGGUGCUAACGUCCGUCGUGAAGAGGGAAACAACCCAGACCGCCAGCUAAGGUCCCAAAGUCAUGGUUAAGUGGGAAACGAUGUGGGAAGGCACAGACAGCCAGGAUGUUGGCUUAGAAGCAGCCAUCAUUUAAAGAAAGCGUAAUAGCUCACUGGUCGAGUCGGCCUGCGCGGAAGAUGUAACGGGGCUAAACCAUGCACCGAAGCUGCGGCAGCGACACUAUGUGUUGUUGGGUAGGGGAGCGUUCUGUAAGCCUGCGAAGGUGACCUGUGAGGGUUGCUGGAGGUAUCAGAAGUGCGAAUGCUGACAUAAGUAACGAUAAAGCGGGUGAAAAGCCCGCUCGCCGGAAGACCAAGGGUUCCUGUCCAACGUUAAUCGGGGCAGGGUGAGUCGACCCCUAAGGCGAGGCCGAAAGGCGUAGUCGAUGGGAAACAGGUUAAUAUUCCUGUACUUGGUGUUACUGCGAAGGGGGGACGGAGAAGGCUAUGUUAGCCGGGCGACGGUUGUCCCGGUUUAAGCAUGUAGGCUGGUUGUCCAGGCAAAUCCGGAUAAUCAAGGCUGAGGUGUGAUGACGAGGCACUACGGUGCUGAAGUAACAAAUGCCCUGCUUCCAGGAAAAGCCUCUAAGCAUCAGGUAACAUCAAAUCGUACCCCAAACCGACACAGGUGGUCAGGUAGAGAAUACCAAGGCGCUUGAGAGAACUCGGGUGAAGGAACUAGGCAAAAUGGUGCCGUAACUUCGGGAGAAGGCACGCUGGUGUGUAGGUGAAGUCCCUGCGGAUGGAGCUGAGACCAGUCGAAGAUACCAGCUGGCUGCAACUGUUUAUUAAAAACACAGCACUGUGCAAACACGAAAGUGGACGUAUACGGUGUGACGCCUGCCCGGUGCCGGAAGGUUAAUUGAUGGGGUUAUCCGUAAGGAGAAGCUCUUGAUCGAAGCCCCGGUAAACGGCGGCCGUAACUAUAACGGUCCUAAGGUAGCGAAAUUCCUUGUCGGGUAAGUUCCGACCUGCACGAAUGGCGUAAUGAUGGCCAGGCUGUCUCCACCCGAGACUCAGUGAAAUUGAACUCGCUGUGAAGAUGCAGUGUACCCGCGGCAAGACGGAAAGACCCCGUGAACCUUUACUAUAGCUUGACACUGAACAUUGAGCCUUGAUGUGUAGGAUAGGUGGGAGGCUUUGAAGCGUGGACGCCAGUCUGCGUGGAGCCAACCUUGAAAUACCACCCUUUAAUGUUUGAUGUUCUAACGUUGGCCCCUUACCGGGGUUGCGGACAGUGUCUGGUGGGUAGUUUGACUGGGGCGGUCUCCUCCCAAAGCGUAACGGAGGAGCACGAAGGUUAGCUAAUCCUGGUCGGACAUCAGGAGGUUAGUGCAAUGGCAUAAGCUAGCUUGACUGCGAGCGUGACGGCGCGAGCAGGUGCGAAAGCAGGUCAUAGUGAUCCGGUGGUUCUGAAUGGAAGGGCCAUCGCUCAACGGAUAAAAGGUACUCCGGGGAUAACAGGCUGAUACCGCCCAAGAGUUCAUAUCGACGGCGGUGUUUGGCACCUCGAUGUCGGCUCAUCACAUCCUGGGGCUGAAGUAGGUCCCAAGGGUAUGGCUGUUCGCCAUUUAAAGUGGUACGCGAGCUGGGUUUAGAACGUCGUGAGACAGUUCGGUCCCUAUCUGCCGUGGGCGCUGGAGAAUUGAGGGGGGCUGCUCCUAGUACGAGAGGACCGGAGUGGACGCAUCACUGGUGUUCGGGUUGUCAUGCCAAUGGCACUGCCCGGUAGCUAAAUGCGGAAGAGAUAAGUGCUGAAAGCAUCUAAGCACGAAACUUGCCCCGAGAUGAGUUCUCCCUGAGACUUUAAGUCUCCUGAAGGAACGUUAAAGACGAUGACGUUGAUAGGCCGGGUGUGUAAGCGCAGCGAUGCGUUGAGCUAACCGGUACUAAUGAACCGUGAGGCUUAACCUU